GGGCCAAGCCAUGGUGGUCGUACUGUUGUUAAGGCUUGAUCAAAAGCUUCGACCUUAUCGUUUUUCAAAGCAAUAUGAAGAGCAGUCUCGCCUUUAUUCGUCACAUCUUCAAGAGAUUUCGGACAAGCAGACAAAAAUUCCCUCAACAGAUGGAUGUCUCCUUUUUCAGACACGAAAUGCAAAGGAGUGAUGCCUUCUCUUCCUUGGACACGAACAAGGUCCGGAUCAAUAUCUAUCAGCUGAAGCACUAACUGAGUUUGAUCAUUUUGCAAAGCUAAAUGCACCGGAGAGAAGCCAUCUUGGUUUAGCUUCCUGGCAAAUGAUGGCUUUAGUCUGAUAAUCUCCGUGGACCAUUCAACAUUUCCAUCCCUUGCAGCAGCAUGCAAAGGAGUAUCGACAAAAGGUUUCUCGUCGAAGUUGUCCAAAAAAUAUCGAUCAUGUCGAAUUAGCUCAUACAAAGCAUCGACAUCCCUCACUUGAGCAGCGGACUCCAUCACCGAAAUUAACACUACGAAGGUGGCACUUCAAUGAUCAAAUAUUCUUUGUACUACAGAGAGGAAACUGGAAAGUUUUAACAACUGAACAAGAAGAGCAAUUGAAGAAACCCAGCAAGAAAUCAUAUGCUCAGGAAGCAAUUUUUUUCAAAAGAUUCAAUAUAUGUAUAUAUAGCUUCAACGAAAAUUCUUUUUAGAAAGUGAGGACUAGGAACAAAAUCAAUUUUCUUCAUGUUUUGUGAUUGCCUCUAUGAGGUUUGCCUUAAAUAAGAGUGAGAUAUUUUUACCAAAAGGGGAAAGAAUAGAUAUACAUCAUAUUUUGGAGAAUUUGUGACGUAGAAAUCAUGACGUAGACUCCUCAUAAAGAAAAUUGAUUCGGAUGUAUGAACAUCAAUAUCUGUGCUCCUUCGUGUGUAUUAUGCUAUUUAUUAAUAAAAGGUACUUUAAGAAAUAAUAAAUUGAUGGAUAUCUUAAAGAGUAAUGAUAUAGCCACAAACUUUUGUACAAACUUAUUUUGUACAAAUUGAUGUGGCAUGAUAAAAUUGGUUGAAUUAAAUAUCUCUUGGCCCACAUGAUUUAUUUUUAUUAUUUUAUAUUUUUAUUCAACCAAUGAGUUAAUGCCACAUUAGUUUGUACAAAAUAAAUUUGUACAAGAGUUUGUGGUUGUAUCAUCACUCUAUUUUAAAAUACAUUUCACGUACUAUUAUUUGAAUACUUGUAAAAAAACUGAGAUGGGAUAAAAAAAGGAAAAGGAUAACGACAUUCCAAGAUUUGGGAAAAUAAUUACAAAAAACUCUUUAAGUCUUAAAAAAAAGAUACAAAAACUUUUUUUGCCCACAAUACCUUUUGAUUAUAUUAAUUAAAAAAUUAAUUUUAAAACUGCUGUACGGCCAAGGCGGAUGUACGGUACAGCAGAAGGAGUAUCCUGUUGCCAUCCCUAUCUUUCAAGUUGAGGAUUCUUUGAUUGUAUUGUUGAGCUUCUUCAGGGCCAAGCCACGGUGGUCGUACUGUUGUUAAGGCUUGAUGAAAAGAUUCGACCUUAUCGUUUUUCAAAGCAAUAUGAAGAGCCGUCUCGCCUUUAUUGGUCACAUCUUCAAGAGAUUUCGGACAAGCAGACAAAAAUUCCCUCAACAGAUGGAUGUCUCCUUUUUCAGACACGAAAUGCAAAGGAGUGAUGCCUUCUCUUCCUUGGACACGAACAAGGUCCGGAUCAAUAUCUAUCAGCUGAAGCACUAACUGAGUUUGAUCAUUUUGCAAAGCUAAAUGCACCGGAGAGAAGCCAUCUUGGUUUAGCUUCCUGGCAAAUGAUGGCUUUAGUCUGAUAAUCUCCAUGGACCAUUCAACAUUUCCA
rnacentral:lncRNA from 1 species